GACGAACGCUGGCGGCGUGCUUAACACAUGCAAGUCGAACGGGCCUUGUCCCCUUUUUUUUUGGGGGUGGGGUUAGUGGCGAACGGGUGAGUAACACGUGAGUAACCUGCCCCUCACUUCUGGAUAACCGCUUGAAAGGGUGGCUAAUACGGGGUGUUCUGGCCUGCUCGCAUGGGUGGGUUUGGAAAGAUUCGACCGGUUUUGGUUGUUUUGGUGGGGGAUGGGCUCGCGGCCUAUCAGCUUGUUGGUGGGGUGAUGGCCUGCCAAGGCUUUGACGGGUAGCCGGCCUGAGAGGGUGGGCGGUCACACUGGGACUGAGACACGGCCCAGACUCCGACGGGAGGCAGAAGUGGGGAAUAUUGCACAAUGGGCGCAAGCCUGAUGCAGCGACGCCGCGUGAGGGAUGGAGGCCUUCGGGUUGUGAACCUCUUUCGCCAGUGAAGAAGGUCCUGCUCUUUGUGGUGGGGUUGACGGUAGCUGGGUUAAUGAAGCGCCGGCUAACUACGUG
rnacentral:rRNA from 1 species